rnacentral:lncRNA from 1 species
GAAGCUGGAGGGGAGGGAGCAGGUCAAGAGGUCCCCAAGAGGAGGGAAGGGACCUCUGUCUCUAAAGACAGUUGAGCCACUUUGCUGGUGCCAGACAGAUUUAUGCAAGUUGCACACACCCUCGCUCGCUCAGACACUCUCACUUGCACAGGUACUCACACACACUCACUCAAACAGACCUUCCCAUGGGCACACAAUCACAAGCACACUCACAUACACUCACACUCAUAACAUGCUCCCACAAUCACACCUGUUCACACAAUUCAAAUGCUUUCAUACAGACACAAACUGGCAGGCACGCACACACACACAUGCGCGCACACAGUCACGUACUAUCAUACAGACACAUGAUUACAUGCAUGCACACUCAUCCACAGUCAUGCACAUAUGCUGUCACACACGUGCCUCAUUACAGAGACAUCCCAUUUCGUACACAUGUACACUGUCAGACACACAAUGUGUGACAGUCACACAGUCACAUUGCUCAGGCCCUCAUACGCACAAUUACAUGCACACACACAUAUGGACACACAUGGUCACACACACCCUCAUACAGACACACAAUUACACACACUCCCACACUCAGACACACUCACACACCCUCAUACAGACACACAAUUACACACACACAUAUGCACGCAUGUUCUCACACACACCCUCAUAUGGACACAUGACUACAUAUAUGCGUUCCCACACACAUAUAUGCACACACAUGGUUACACAGCCUCAUACAGACACAAUUAUAUACGCACACCCACUCACAUAUGCACACACAUUCUCACACACCCUCAUACAGACACACAGUUACAUACACUCACACACGUAUGCACUGACACCUAAUUAUACACAUAAUCAUAAUCUCACACACACACUCCUGUGUGCCCUCAUGCAGACAAAUACACACAGGCACACACACCCUCAUGCAGAUACAGUCACAUAUACAGUCACAUGUCCUCACACCUGCACACACUUGCACACCCCACAUCCUCACACACCCUCAGAUACCCAAUUACAUAUAUACACUCGCACACACAUGCACACACUUGCUCAGACUCACAACCUCAUACACACAGUUACAUACACACAUACAUUAUGACACACAUAUGCACUCAUAUACACUCUCAUACAGACACACACAGACACAUACACAUACUCCCAAAGAUAUGCACACACACCCUCAUGCUGACACACGGUUGCACAUACAGUCACCAUACAUUCACACACACAUAC